UUUCUGUGUCUGUAGGAGGCCUUGGACUAGGAGGAAGGAAGCCCCUUAUGAGAUCAGCUGGGCUCCAGCCCGGUGACUAUGGUGACUUCUCCAGGCAGGACACAGUUAAUAGAUUCAGAUCCACAGUCUGCACAUGUCAGCCAAUUCUAAAGGCCCCCGUGAACAGCCUUGCAGUGCUUCUGUCACCAAAAGAUGCCUGUGUCAUUGGUGUCAUGCCUAUUUUCCUCACCACCCCCCCAAGGGACAUCUGUCAGGACCCUGCAACACCUGUGCUCCUUGCAUUGUUCUGCAGUCACCCUUGUUGUGUCACUUCACUGGUUAAAAUGACCACGAGAGCAUCGGACAUCAUAGCCAUAUUCCAACCGCUAGAAAGAAGGGCUAUGUCAAGAAGGGUGAAACUUUAAGGAUUGAUACUUCCCUUAACGUUCAACUGCCUGUUUCACAAAAGCCGCACUGCUGGGACUUGGUUGCUGUUGGGACCCAGCCCCCACAGGGUCUCUGUGAGUUGUUUUCCAGCAUAAGCACAGGUACCUCAUGUUUUCCUGGCCUCGCCCCACUAGCAUCAACAUCCUGUUGUGAACCUUUACUGUUGGGUACAGAACCCACCUUCAGAUCUGUGACGACCUUUUCUUACUUCCUGUUUUGAUACAUUGUGCCUUGCCCCCAUCCCCUUCCUGCUUCUUGGCCUUGGGCAGGGGUUUCCUUGUUUAUGAUAGGGCGUGGGAAUGCGCUCU
rnacentral:lncRNA from 1 species